rnacentral:lncRNA from 1 species
AAAUGGAGACCGAACAGCCAGAAGAAACCUUCCCUAACACCGAAACCAAUGGUGAAUUUGGUAAACGCCCUGCAGAAGAUAUGGAAGAGGAACAAGCCUUUAAAAGAUCUAGAAAUACUGAUGAGAUGGUUGAAUUGCGCAUUUUGCUUCAGAGCAAGAAUGCUGGGGCAGUGAUUGGAAAAGGAGGCAAGAAUAUUAAGGCUCUCCGUACAGACUACAAUGCCAGUGUUUCAGUCCCAGACAGCAGUGGCCCCGAGCGGUAUGUCCCAACAGUUUAUGCCUCACUGCCUGAUUAGAAAGAGAGAAAUGUAUUUUAUUACCUGCCUUUUAUAUAAUUAAAUAGUAUCCCCUUUAGACGGUGUAUUGUUUUUCAAGUUUCUGUCUUAUUUUCCCCAUUAAGUCCUUUUGUCACUGAACUUUUACCGUGAGUUGCCCACCCAAACGAUCCACUAAUUUUAUUUAUUUCAAUGGAAGGAGCACAGCUUCAAGUGUUGCAUAUUUGCUGCAUUGUAAAUCAAACUGUUACCCAAAUAGUCUCUCGCUCUGUCUUUGUGGCCCACCUUGCUUCCCAACAUUGUCUGUUCAUAAUUUUUUCUGAUGAAACGCUAACUGGUUCACUUUCCUUCACUUCUCAUUUGUACUGUCUUUGUUUUGUCCUGCAUUUGUAUUUGUUUUCUUGCAGAGCCCAUUAAGUAGUCUAAUUUCUAACUGGUAUCCAUAACCUUACUCCAGAUACAAUGUUCACCACUUGCAUAUUCCCCCAGUUUACCCAAGAGAAGGUGUGCCAGUAUUACCAUAACAGCGAGGGUGUCCUUAACUUGGUGGCGGGGAACAUGAGAAUUCAACUCUGCUUCAAUUCUGGUCGAUUAUUGCCACUUAAUCUGAGCCCUUCCAGCAGCCCAUUCUCUCUGUCUCUCUCAAAGUCUCCUAAUAAUGUUAUGUCUGUAUUGGGCAUAAAAUAAAAUGCAUGUG